rnacentral:rRNA from 1 species
AGAGUGAACGCUGGCGGCAGGCCUAACACAUGCAAGUCGAACGGCAGCACGAGAGAGCUUGCUCUCUUGGUGGCGAGUGGCGGACGGGUGAGGAAUACGUCGGAAUCUGCCUUUUUGUGGGGGAUAACGUAGGGAAACUUACGCUAAUACCGCAUACGACCUACGGGUGAAAGCGGAGGACCUUCGGGCUUCGCGCAGAAAGAUGAGCCGACGUCGGAUUAGCUAGUUGGAGGGGUAAUGGCCCACCAAGGCGACGAUCCGUAGCUGGUCUGAGAGGAUGGAUCAGCCACACUGGGACUGAGACACGGCCCAGACUCCUACGGGAGGCAGCAGUGGGGAAUAUUGGACAAUGGGCGCAAGCCUGAUCCAGCCAUGCCGCGUGUGUGAAGAAGGCCUUCGGUUGUAAAGCACUUUUGUACGGAAGAAAAGCAAUCGGUUAAUACCCGGUUGUCAUGACGUACCGUAAGAAUAAGACACCGCUAACUUCGUGCCAGCAGCCGA